rnacentral:lncRNA from 1 species
GAAGCCAUGAAGCACAUAAAACCUCAAGUAGAACAAGUGUUUCAAAGUCUACCAAAAUCUGCCUUCAGAGAUUAUUACUACAGAGGUGGAUAUGAACCCAAAAUGACAAAACGGGAAGCAGCAUUAAUACGGGUAAGCCCUACUGCCAAUAAAGAAAAAAAUAAGAGAUGCUCAUUAACAUGUUAUGCUCUUAAAUCACGCAGACAAAAGAGGGUCUCCUUAUAUAGUAGCCACAAUCAAUGAAGCUAAAGAUUUACUGCAAGAUCAAGCUAAAAACAGUAGGUGUAUAAUGAAUUUUUAAC